GCAGCGAGCCUGCUCUGUGUGACACUGAUGGGGGACACACGUCAUUACACAUCUGUCCGAACCCACAGGAUGUGCACCAUCGAGUGACCCUGAUGUAGGCGGUGGGCUCUGGGCGACAGGGACGUGUCCGGGCAGGCCCGUCACUGUGACAAACGCCCCAUCCAGUGGGGACCUUGACACUGGGGGAGGCCAUGCGUGUAUUGGGGGAGGGAGUAAGGAUUACUCAGUUACCUGCUAUCUCCUUGGCCAGAAGCGCCCCCACACCAGACAUAUGGGGACAGUUCACUGCUGCCCUCAGUUUGAGGUCCUGGUUUCUGAGCCCAUGUGACUGGGUGUGGAUCCCCUUACUGUGGGCUGCAAUAUCAACCCUACCCAACUGCCUUCUUUCUCCUACAGGGGACUUGUGACAAACACAGUCUCUUUGGGACAGUCCAAGUUAAGUGAGCACAGGUGACGGUGGCAGGACACGGGGUUAGCCAGUGGGCAUGUCAGCGGCAAGAGCCGGCUGGCCUUCCACCACCUGUCGUCCCAGGUGCCCUCCCAGGAGCAGGCCAUCCAGGGGUCUUCACUGUGCGGCCACGUAAACUACCUGUGGUUGUUGUUAAAAUGCAAAUUCCUGGCUCCACCUCAGUCACAGUGAAUGGGAAUCUCUCGAGCUGGCACCCAGGAAUUCAUAGUUACGUUUUAAGAAGUUUCCAAGUGCUUCUCCUGGACUCCAAGGCAGGCGCCUGACCUCACAAACACUCUGAAGGGUGUUACAAGCCUUAUUUUACAAGUAAGGAAGCGUGACAGCAGAUGAAGCCAAGCACUUUCUCCCGGGCUAUCCGGGCAGCCGGAGACAGGGCUGCAGUCCACAGGGGCCGCCCCACGGAGGGGCUUCCUCCCGCUGUGUCACCCCCCCUCAGCAGCACAGCUCUGCAGAGUGGAAGUCACCGAGGACGAUGAUCAGGAGCGACUCCCACCAUCCCAAACACUCUGACGACGGGAGACACCAUUGCUUCUUUGGGAAACGGCUGUGGGUUCAACUGCUUCGUCUCUGUCGCUGGAAUGUUUGGGGGUGUCUUCUAAGACCCCUAAGUCCUGUAGGGCAGUGGUCAGGCAUCCACCCGCUAGUGGACAGGUCAUUCUAGUGUUCGCACCAUGGGGGGCGGCAGGGUCUCCAGCCACCAGCAAAAUGAGGAAGGUGCUUACAGGGCUCCGGUUAUGUUCCCUAAGGAGCCGGGCACAGUGAACUCUUCUUUGCAAAAACAGACGUCAUUCCAUUUGUUUUAAGGGGUUACAGCCUUCUGUUCUCACUGGGUGAGAAUAUUAGGCUUUGGUGAAUUUUCCCCACAUCCUAAGAUUCAUCACCUCAACCUGAAAGUCCCUGUGUCUGUGGCAUCACAUCUCAUUUUAAAGAUGCUGAAGGCCAAGGAAAGCAUUCUGACAUAUUGUCAAAAUCCACAACUCAGCAGGCUAAGAAGCUGAGGCUGGGGGAAGGUUCAGAUUUAAUUCUGUUUUUGCAGAAGGUAGUGCUGUGAAGGAACUGCAGACAACAGGCUCAAGGCCAUGGGCUUCCAUCUCCACCCUUGCUUAAGAAUAUUCUUUGAGCAACAUUCCUGCCCCAGCCCAAGAAAUAAUAAAGAGUUUUAAGAAGAAAAUAAAUACAAUUUUAAGAACCCUUACAAAUUAACAGUAAUGCCUGGGCUCAAGCUCCUGUUGAGUGCAAACUAUAAAAAGAAAUGUCUGGGUAUACAAAUUUUUUCUCCAACUUCCUAUUCAUAGGAGAUGGAGCAUGAAGACUCCGAAGGUGUACCAGUCUCAGAAACUAUGAGGUGCCCCCACCUGCUGGCCAAGGGGACAGGUAAGGGAGGGCGGAGGUGAUGAAGUAUACCUUCCAAGUAUUGAAAGACCCCCCCCUCCUUAGAACUCAUGUCAGGAAAGACCCCCAGGAGUCAUCAGACUCCUCAUUAACAGGUGGGGAGACUCAACCCUGGGCUGGCAGGUAGGGCUAGAAUCUGCCAGCCCCAGGGGAGCACCUCUCUCUGGAGAGCACACCACAUCUGGAGCUCUGCUGUGCAGACAGAAAAAGGUGAGGAACCACCACACAGAUUUCAGGAGCACUGGCAUUUUCCAAUGAUUUAUUUCAUCCCAGCAUAAAUGGACAUAUAUACAAGCUUGUACAGUAUCUGUGCCCAGAAGUAAAAAACCAAAGCAUUAAUAAAUAUACAUGAACUGCACAUACAACAUCAGUGGACCUGACCUGUGCCUUGAACAGGUAGAUGUGUCUGUAAUAGAUGCAACAUUGCAAUACUGUUUAGAGCUCUUUAAAAAGCUCUGGAGGAGCAGUAAUCUCACAAUAGAACAUAUCCAGCCUUUAUUCCAACUCAUUUCCAACCGAUUCACCAAGCGCGUAGGAAGGAAGCACCUCCCAUUGCCAGCUCUGGUGCCCUCCAAGUGUCAAGGUGUAGAGGACACAGCGGUGACACAAAUCCAGACGCAGCUUGAACAUUCACACAUUUCCACUUUCAGCUCUUACUAUCUUCUCACAAAUAAAAUUGCAGAGGAAAUGGGAAUAUAUAAGAACACCGAUUUUUUUAACACCAAAAUAAAACAUUUUAUAAGGUAGAAAAGCAUCUAAAAUAAGACAAAACACAAAAUAGUACUUUUGUUUUCAUUCACCCCAAGGAAGUGUUACAAUAGAUUAUGUCCUGAAACUAUUUUCACAUUAAGAAAAGGCAAAAAAAACUCAGAAAUGUUCCGUUUCAAAAUCAUUUACAGGAAGUUACCCAAGAGACCAGCAGAUUAAAUAGCUGCUGCCAGAAAUUACUAAAGCAACACCAGAAUUUAACAGAAGCACAUGAUUUGUCUUAAGUAUCUAUAACAAAACUGAUACAUCUAAGAGUUUUAACUAAGCAGCAAACGCAUCUGCACAGCAUUCACUCUCCUAGAGGAGAAGAGGAGGGAGCCACCACAGACUCAGAAACCAAACCACCAAGCUCGGAAUCCAGCCCCACGAAGCUGCCAAGAGCCAGGGCUAGUGCUGAAGCCCUUCCCCAGACUGAAAACAGAAAGAGGAGCAAGAUGUCUUAAGCCCAUUUCUUUGGGUUCCAAAUGACCCCUGAUGGACAAUAGCAAAGGCAUUGCUUGCCAACUAAGUAGAAGGCGAACAUACACAUUUUCCCCUGAAAAUACCAUGGGGAAACCUCUGUGUGCGUGGGUGCCUUAACUGAGUGAGAAUUAUGGAUGGAUCUAAGAAAUCCAUUAGCGUCAUUUGACUCUCACUAAGGAGAUCAGGAAUAUUUCUGCAACAACUUUUUCUAAACUGUGUUGGACAGAGCUUUAGAAUACCAUGCUGAAUAUGCCAAGAUACUUCCUUGGGACAUGAGCCCUCCCCAGGCAAGUCCCAGCCCCACCACCCAACCCCCAGUCCUACAAAUCAACCACCUCGAAGGCUGUGGCUUUUCUGUGUCAUUGGUGCAAAACCUUGGGUCUCCACACCCAAGAACCAAAGGUUUUUGGCCUCCAAAAGCACAAGGACCUCCCAUCAUGGCAGGUCCUCUGGGAUGUGUUUUCAUGCGGCUUUACAUGGACUGUGGUCCUUAAUAUUCUAUAUCCUCUCACCCUCAGGUGUCCAGUGUACUGCAUCAUGACAGCCCCCUGGGACUCUAAGGCCAGUACCCAGAGGAAGUGGUGUUAUGUCUAGGACAGGCAUUCCUUUAUUAAGUUACAUGAUAAAGUAAUACACAAAAUCUCCAGUUGGGUAUCUCCUGUGGCUGCUCACAUCCCCUUCUGGGAACAACUUUAUUCUGGCAGCCCACCUUCAGCAUUUGGUUUUAAUCAGUAAACAUCAAAGGAAUGAUUUCUCAAGUAAAAUCACAGUGAUAAUGUUUUAUGAACUUGAUAUUUAAGGAAUGAAAAUAUUAGGCCGGUUCCAUUUCAUAUAAAAAGUUUAAUUGUAAGU